AGCCGGGCUAGGGGGAGUGCUGGCGUGCUCUGUAUCACAAAUCGNCGAUAUGGUGACCCGAAGUCUGAGGGCGGCGGAGACGAUUUUCGAAUGUACCAUCGAUUAACUGAGAUGCCUCGCCCCCGAGAGAUCGAGGUUAACAGAGGCCUAUUCCGGAGGGAAUCGGUGACUGUAUCACCCGGGAAUCAGGUCAGGCGCGGAAGCGAGCAGCCCGACUGGGGACUCUGGAUGCCUCGGGAAAGCGGGGCGGAGAAGAUUGGUGUAUCCACAGACGAAAAUACGACCGUCCACCAAAGACGCGCCCACCU
rnacentral:SRP_RNA from 1 species